rnacentral:rRNA from 1 species
AGAGUUUGAUCCUGGCUCAGAACGAACGCUGGCGGCAUGCCUAACACAUGCAAGUCGAACGAGACCUUCGGGUCUAGUGGCGCACGGGUGCGUAACGCGUGGGAACCUGCCUUUAGGUUCGGAAUAACUCAGAGAAAUUUGAGCUAAUACCGGAUAAUGUCUUCGGACCAAAGAUUUAUCGCCUUUAGAUGGGCCCGCGUUGGAUUAGCUAGUUGGUGGGGUAAAGGCCUACCAAGGCGACGAUCCAUAGCUGGUCUGAGAGGAUGAUCAGCCACACUGGGACUGAGGCACGGCCCAGACUCCUACGGGAGGCAGCAGUGGGGAAUAUUGGACAAUGGGCGAAAGCCUGAUCCAGCAAUGCCGCGUGAGUGAUGAAGGCCUUAGGGUUGUAAAGCUCUUUUACCCGAGAUGAUAAUGACAGUAUCGGGAGAAUAAGCUCCGGCUAACUCCGUGCCAGCAGCCGCGGUAAUACGGAGGGAGCUAGCGUUGUUCGGAAUUACUGGGCGUAAAGCGCACGUAGGCGGCUUUUUAAGUCAGGGGUGAAAUCCCGGGGCUCAACCCCGGAACUGCCCUUGAAACUGGGAAGCUAGAAUCUUGGAGAGGCGAGUGGAAUUCCGAGUGUAGCGGUGAAAUGCGUAGA